ensembl:lncRNA
ACUCUAUUGUGUUCCCCUGCCUUUGGUUGUUCUGGCACGGCUUGUGAGUGCUGCAUCGAAAAUCCUCCUCAGGCGGCCAGAGGAACAUCAGGAGUGACCCGGAGGCGUCCCACAUACAGCGGCCAUAAUGAAGAGCGGGGAGCUUUGGGAGCUUUCAGCUCAGUGAGCUGUGAUGGUGGGGGAGAACUAUUCAAAGCCUUAUUGAAACAUGAAUACACUGAGAAGGGUGUCUCCUGUGAGGAGCAGGGGCCAAAUAUCAGGCUGCAGGAGCUUUUCCCCACCAUGGCUGCAUUUACUCUUGCAAUCGGAGUGUUACUGAAUCUACUGCAAGUAAAAUUGUGUUUUAGACAAAUUGGUGUCUGAGCAUCCACAUGUAUUACUUUCAAGAUCUCCAACCUACACUUCACCAACCAGAUAAACAUACACACAAACCAGCGGAAAUACCUUGCUUCUGAGUAUUGUUGACAUGAGACAUGAGAUUCCUCCCACUAGACAUCUUGAACCAAAUGAGUCAGGGGAAAAUUGAGAUGAAAGGAAAGUCAGAAACAUAACUGAGUCUGGAGGAGAAAAAAGCUUUACUCUUUAUUUGCUAGUUUAUUACAUGAAUAUUAUAAAUAAGUUUAAGACCAAGUCUGGAUUAAAACUGUGGUAAACAAACAGGAUUUUAAUGGAUGUUAUGUCCCUCCUCCAUUGAAAUCCCCAACCACGAAGCAUGCAAACAACAACCAUGUAAGAUUCGCAACAAUAUGGAAAUCAUUGGCAAUGCGGCACAACCAAAGCAUGGAAUCGACCUCUUUCAAAUCACACAGUUCCAGAAAUAUCUGAAACUUUGAACUCUUAAAAUUAAAGGUUCCAAAAAAGGAGUUUUUGCAGCAAAGCCAUAGACCCAAAAUUCUUGGAUCCCCAAAGAACCUUUCAGUGAACGGAAUUAUUUAUUUUUCUUAUAGUGUGAAGAACAUUUGCAAAAUCUAAAAAAAGUGUUUCCUAUAUAAAGAACCUUUUAUGGGAUGCAAAGGAUCAAUGGAUGAUAAAAGUUCUUCAUGGAACCAUAGAUGCCAAUAAAGAACCUUUAUUUUGAGCUGUGUAUGCUGUAUUUUGCUAAAAAUAGAGGGAUCUUCUCUGACAAAUCCAAGACAACACAAUUAGCAUUCUGUCACACAAAAAACCUCACUGGCAACCUGUGACAGACAUGAGUUCAGACAUUUUAGUCGUGACACAUUUCUUAAUGUUUGAUGGGUGAAAAAUGGCUCCCCUGAAGCAAGACUUGGUAUUUUCCAAUGACGUGUCAGCUUUCCCCCUAAAGUCCAACUUCUUAUUACUUUGCUUCUUCUUUGCCAACGUUAUUGUUUCAGCCCACUGCUUUCCCCAAGAUGAACCAGCAGCUAUUAUUCAGAGCGGUGGAAUUAAUUGGUGAAUUUCUCACAUGCUUUGAGAAAUGAAUAGAUCUACAUAAUCAAUUACACAGUGUGGGAUGCUGCCAACAAAACUUUGGAGAAAUGUCUGCUUCAUGACAAAAGAAGAACUGUGGGGAGCACAGGCAGAGAACGAAAUGAAGCCUAGCUGACAGGGUAGUAUCGGAAUUUCAUAUGAGGAAAAAAAAAUACUUUACGGGCUAGUCUGACUGUUUACACUCUUCUACAAAACUACUGCUCCUCAUUUCUGGAGGCCCAGUGUGGAAGCUGUUCAGCAUCAGCGCAACGGUUUCCUCUGGCUGCUGAUGAAACAUCAUGACUUGUAAUGUUCUGGCAGAUGGUCUGGUUUUCAUAACGUGGAUGAAUCAUACUAUGCCAAUUAGUGUUUAGAAGACUCAGAAAGUGAUAAUCAAGCUUUGUUUCGGGUGUUUUGCAUCUUAUUUUAGAUGUUAUGAUAUUGCAUGCCUACUUUGAAAUGUUAUUGGAAAUUUUACUGUCUCUCUCAUAGUGAAACUGUAAUUUAACUUAAGCUUGGUUACAAAGAAUAUAUGAUUCGCAUGCAUCUGAGAUUAAUUCUAUGAUGAAAAUCAUGUAUAAUGAGACUUGUAUAAGGAGGAUAAUUAUUGAGUCCAUUUUAUACAACUGAACUGCAAUUAUAUAUGUUCUAUAAAAGAAGGAAAUGUACUCCAGCAAUUAUUCCCUUUAACAUACACUUGCAUUGCUCAUUUUUAUUUUUA